GUCUACAGCCACGCCACCCUGAGCAAGCUGGAUCCUGUCUGAUCUCGGAAGCUAAGCAGGGUCAGGCCUGGUUAGUACUUGGAUGGGAGAUCACCUAGGAAGACCAGGUGCUGUAGGCA
rnacentral:rRNA from 1 species